GGGCUCCCCGGGGCUCGGUCCUGUCCGUGUGGUCCUGACCCACCCUCCGUGAGCAACAGAAACGGGACUGGAUUGGGGGUGUCCUGUCUGAGUGGACAUGGGAUACCACGGUUCCAGCACGACA